AAGCUGAAUAUUUCUAUCUACCUAAAUCUCAAAGGCUCUAAGCCUUUAUCUUUCUGAUGAUAGGAAGGCUUGUCUUUUAGAUGUUACCAUUUCCUCUUUCCCCUGUAACCCUCAGGAUGCUUAUAUGUAUUCAUGACUUAGAUGUGUGGUCAUGGCCACUGCCAUGGUUCCCAUCCCAUGAUGGUGUCAUGGAGGUGAAAUGUGGUCCUGACCCAUAAGAACAAGCCCUUCUUCCAAAAUGAGAAGGGUACUGUUCCUUCUAUAUCAUACCCAGCUAUGGGAGGAAGGAUCUUCAAAAAGUUUAUUGAUACAGCACCUUAAAUUCACAAAGGAAAGCUUUGUCCUAGGAUAACUAGAUGAGUUCGAGAUUCUGCUACUGCAUAGUACCCAGUGAUGUAUGUCUCAUUUUAAAAUCAGGUUCUCCUUGCCCAACUCCUUCUUCCUUCUGUUUAGUUCUCUCUCUGUGGCUUUUAUCACUCACCUAGGAUAGGACUCAAAUCAGAGACAUUACACAUGUACCAACCAGAUUAGACAUGUCUACAAAUGUUUGAAACCCAGCUGUGGAGAGCAAUGAAGUCCUUUUCUCCUAGGCCCUUUGCAAGUAAGUGGUUGUUAAUAGAUACUUGGGGUUAGCAAUGUCUCCUAACUCUAUUCACCAAGAGUCCCAGCUUAGUCCUACCAAAACCCACUCUGUUAGAACAGGUGAGGAAAAUCCAAGGUUAAGUGAUUGAACCAGGACACAUAAGCAGCUGGUGGCAGGGUGGGAACCAGAACCCCGAUUCAGAUUUCAUUCUCCCAUACCACACAGCCUCUUUCCAUUGCACAAGCUCCAUUUUCUACGCUGAUGCCUUUGAUUUAGCCAGAUGGUUGACACACUUUUUUGUUUUUUGCCAAAAGUAUGAUUUGCUUUCCAAAAAAUCUCAAAUUAAGCAGCUCAUGACUACUUCUUAAGAUAAAGAGAAUUGAAUUCUAACAAGGCAUUGUAGAAAGCUACUUGACAGGACCAUGUUGCUUCUGUUUCCUAUCUCUGGAUGCCAGAUGUCUGCUUUCUCCUGUCCACCCACAGGGGAUUUGUGAUUAGGUUUGAAUUCUUGAACACUGCUUCCUAGAAAAGGCCCAGAGCCACUGGUAUGUCUGCAAGAAAGAAGAAAUAUUUUGUCAACCCAUGCUUGGCAUGCUUGAAGGCACUUUAGAGUCCUGAACUCAACAUUGGGUGCUAAAAAAUAUUCUGGCAAUUGCUGAGUUUCAGAAGCUAAAAAGAACUCAGACUUGAGGCUCUGUCUACUAAGAAAGAAAGAAAGAAAGAAAGAAAGAAAGAAAGAAAGAAAGAAAGAAAGAAAGAAAGAAAGAAAGAAAGAAAGAAAGAAAGAAAGAAAGAAAGAAAAAGAAAGAAAGAAAGAAAGAAAGAAAGAAAGAAAGAAAGAAAGAAAGAAGAAAGAAAGAAAGAAAGAAAAAAGAAGGAAAGGAGAAGAAAGAAAGGAAAGGAAAGGAAAGGAAGAAGGAAAGGAAGGAAGGAAGGAAGGAAGGAAGGAAAGGAAGAAGAGAAGAAAGAAAGAAGAAAGAAGAAAGAAGAAAGAAAGAAAGAAAAAAAAAAGAAAGAAGAAAGAAGAGAAGAGAAGAGAAGAGAAGAGAAGAGAAGAGAAGAGAAGAGAAGAGAAGAGAAAAGAAGACAGAAAAGAAUAGAAAGCAGUCCAAGGCUGCAGAAUGAGUGAACUGACCACAGUGCCAUCUUUCAAAUGAAAAUUUAAAUUUGAAUCUUCUACUUAUGUAUUGGUAGCUGGGUAUUUGAUACAGUUUAGGGCAAGACGUUUUUUAUUUAACCAGAUUUUUUUAUUUCCCACGUGUUAAAGCAGGAAUCUUUCAAUUCCCCCAGCGUAUCUUAAGAUAAACCAGUCCAAAGAAACACAAAUGGAAACAAUUGCAAAUGUACCUGAUCACCCGAUUACCUCAGAGCUGACAAUGCAGAUUCACUGUUCUGGAGAACAUCUCACAGAUUAUACCCUUGGCACUCAUUCGUUCUCAACUGUUCGGCUCUUCUACUAACCUGCGCUUCCUUUACAAACCAAGACUCCUUGCUCCCAACUAUCCUCUAGCCCCCUUUCAUAUCUAAAAACACUGCUCCAUAUGCAAAAUGGAAGAACCUGUGCAUUCGCCUUCUCAGACUGCCAUAACAAAAUACGACGAACUGAGUGGCUUCAACAACAAAGGUUUACUUCUCUCCAGUCUGGAGACUACAAAUCCAAGACGAAGGAGAGGGUAAACAUAGAUGGAAACUUUCACCCCAACUCCUUCCUACACUGGAAGAAGUGCCUCUAUGUGUUCAUGUGUAUAAAAGAUUCAGCUCCAUUUCUGAACAAUGAAAAUAGGACAGAAAUAUGAAUAAAUCUGGGGAUGACAUACAAUCAAAAAAUAUAAGGUGGGGUUUCUUCUGAGGCCUCUCCUCCUUGGCUUGCUGGUGGCUGCCCUCUUGCUGUGUCCUCAUGUGGUCCUGACUCUGUGCACAGGCCCUGUGUCUGUAUGUCCUAAUGUCCUCUCUUUAUGAGGCCACCAAUACGACUGAGUUAGGGCCAAUGCCUAUGGCUUCAUUUUAACUCAGUCACCUCUUCAAAGGCCUUAUCUCCAGUUAUAGCCACAUUCAGAGGCAAUGGAGGCUAAGGUUUCAACAUAAGAAUUUGGGGCGGGGGACACAAUUCAGGCCCUAAAAGCCUGUUUUUGUGGAAAGUUUCCAAAUUAUAUGAAACAAUAAAGAAAUCCACUCUGAGCUUAAGAGCCCUGUGGUUGUUUUGGGCUGUGAGGAAAGACGCAGCCAGAUCUAACAUGUGGUUUAAUUUUAGGGACUGCAUGCUUCUUGUUCCCUCCAAAUACUUUGCAUGCUUUCAAAUUCUCUUAUUAGAGCUUCAUAUUUUUUUAUUUACAUCAAACGAGGUUUUCUUCUGUUAAAAUGCAAACAGCCCUAGAUUGAGCCUCUUUUGUCACUGAGACUUCAGUAUAGCCAUCGCUUCCUUCCUGCAAGCAGUUUCUGAUGAAGGACAGAUGACUGGGCACCUCUAGGGCCAGGGAGGAGGUGAAGGGAGGGUCACAGAAGGGGGUAAAAGGAAAAGAAACAAGAAGCUGGGGGCAUGAGAAUUCAGACCCCACUCGCUUCACCAUUUAGCCUGAGCAGUGGAGAGAUUGAACAUUCCUGCUCCAGUCCAUAGUGCUGCAUUUGUUGCUAGGAAGCAGCCAUGCAGGCAGAAACCAUAUUCUCUCACCAGCUUUUCUUUGUCUCUAGUUGGGCCACAUGAUGGCUUCCUGGACAGUGGAUUGUGGG
rnacentral:lncRNA from 1 species